UGGCUAGUGAGCAUCUCUACCAUGGUGGUUUAAAGAAUAGGUAACCAUUAUCUUCUCCAUAUCUCUAUUUUCCGUUUCUGAUUCUCAUUCGCGAAUGGGUAUCGUUUCCGGCAAACCCAAAGAUUUCGGAGACCGUAUGUCUUAGUAUGUGACAUUGUUGGUGUUAUCCUUGCCAGAUCCUUAUCUUGCCUGUUCUUGCUUGUUGAUGUAAUAUGUAUGAUAUAUGAUAGAACCUGUAGUUAUGCCUCUCCUGUAGUAGAGG